GACGUAGGGCGCGAGCGUUGUCCGGAUUUAUUGGGCGUAAAGAGCUCGUAGGCGGCUGUUCAAGUCGAACGUGAAAACUCGGAGCUCAACCCCGAGCCUGCGUUCGAUACUGGACGGCUAGAGUCUGGUAGGGGGAUCUGGAAUUCCUGGUGUAGCGGUGAAAUGCGCAGAUAUCAGGAGGAACACCGGUGGCGAAGGCGGGUCUCUGGGCCGAUACUGACGCUGAGGAGCGAAAGCGUGGGGAGCGAACAGG
rnacentral:rRNA from 1 species